GGGGGUGUCGCUCAGUGGUAGAUUGCUUGCCUAGCAUGCAGGAGACCCUGGGUUCAUCCCCAGCACUGCCA
rnacentral:tRNA from 1 species